rnacentral:rRNA from 2 species
CCACCUGUUCCCAUUCCGAACACAGAAGUUAAGCCCCAGCACGCCGAUGGUACUUGGCUGGAGACGGCCCGGGAGAGUAGGUCGCUGCCGCAU